rnacentral:rRNA from 1 species
ACGCUGGCGGCAGGCCUAACACAUGCAAGUCGAGCGGUAGAGAGAAGCUUGCUUCUCUUGAGAGCGGCGGACGGGUGAGUAAUACCUAGGAAUCUGCCUGGUUGUGGGGGAUAACGUUCGGAAACGGACGCUAAUACCGCAUACGUCCUACGGGAGAAAGCAGGGGACCUUCGGGCCUUGCGCUAUCAGAUGAGCCUAGGUCGGAUUAGCUAGUUGGUGAGGUAAUGGCUCACCAAGGCGACGAUCCGUAACUGGUCUGAGAGGAUGAUCAGUCACACUGGAACUGAGACACGGUCCAGACUCCUACGGGAGGCAGCAGUGGGGAAUAUUGGACAAUGGGCGAAAGCCUGAUCCAGCCAUGCCGCGUGUGUGAAGAAGGUCUUCGGAUUGUAAAGCACUUUAAGUUGGGAGGAAGGGUUGUAGAUUAAUACUCUGCAAUUUUGACAUUACCGACAGAAUAAGCACCGGCUAACUCUGUGCCAGCAGCCGCGGUAAUACAGAGGGUGCAAGCGUUAAUCGGAAUUACUGGGCGUAAAGCGCGCGUAGGUGGUUUGUUAAGUUGGAUGUGAAAUCCCCGGGCUCAACCUGGGAACUGCAUUCAAAACUGACUGACUAGAGUAUGGUAGAGGGUGGUGGAAUUUCCUGUGUAGCGGUGAAAUGCGUAGAUAUAGGAAGGAACACCAGUGGCGAAGGCGACCACCUGGACUAAUACUGACACUGAGGUGCGAAAGCGUGGGAGCAAAC